GUGUGCUCUACCCAUUGUGCUUGUUUUGUUUUCUCCUUUUUUUUGUUGUGACUAUUGGAAGCCUUGCUUCUGGUUUUGUUUGUACUUUGAGAUCAGGAAGAGCGCUCGUG